GUCAGUAUGUCCGAGUGGUUAAGGAGUGUGACUCGAAAUCACAUGGGAUUUUCCCACGUAGGUUCAAAUCCUACUGCUGACG